rnacentral:tRNA from 1 species
UGAAAUAGCUCAGUUGGUAGAGCAAUUGUCUCGUAAUCAAUAGGUCGCAGGUUCAAGUCCUGUUUUCAGC